rnacentral:tRNA from 1 species
ACAGGCGUAGCUCAACGGAUAAGAGCACCAGACUUCUAAUCUGAUGGUUAAGGGUUCGAAUCCCUUCGUCUGUA